rnacentral:tRNA from 1 species
GGGGAGAUGGCCGAGUGGUUAAAGGCGACAGACUGUAAAUCUGUUCUCUUACGAGUACGGCGGUUCGAAACCGUCUCUCCCCA